rnacentral:rRNA from 1 species
GACGAACGCUGGCGGUGUGCUUAACACAUGCAAGUCGAACGGUAAGGCCCUUUCGGGGGUACACGAGUGGCGAACGGGUGAGUAACACGUGAGUAACCUGCCCUCAUCUCUGGGAUAACAGUCGGAAACGGUUGCUAAUACUGGAUAUGAGCCUGCAAGGCAUCUUGAGGGUUGGAAAGAUUUUUUGGUUGGGGAUGGACUCGCGGCCUAUCAGCUUGUUGGUGAGGGAGUGGCUCACCAAGGCUUCGACGGGUGGCCGGCCUGCGCGGGCGACCGGCCACAUUGGGACUGAGAUACGGCCCAAACUCCUACGGGUGGCAGCAGUGGGGAAUAUUGCACAAUGGACGGAAGUCUGAUGCAGCAACGCCGCGUGCGGGAUGACGGCCUUCGGGUUGUAAACCGCUUUCAAUUGUGACGAAGCUUUUUGUGACGGUAGCAGUAGAAGAAGCACCGGCUAACUACGUG